rnacentral:lncRNA from 1 species
AGAGCAUACAUGGCACAGCAGCAGCAGCCUCAUCCUGCUGCCCUCUCUGGCAGCACCUUCACCUCAAUCAGGGCAUAACAACCAACAGGUGCUUCAAGUUUUGCUCACUGGGGCUGAGGAUCUCCUGGGAUAGCCCUGGGACAGACCUGGGCAGAAUGUCCCUCCCUGAGUCUUUAAUUUUGGUUUACCAGCUACUUUUGUGCUUCUGCUCUCCUCUGAGCUUGUGGAAAUGGCUUUUUUGUGGGUCAUUGCUCCUGUGAUGGGCUUGGAAGAAGAUGGUUGAGAGUAUUCCACUUGCUAUUGUAUCUCUGUUCUUCUUUUUAAGCGUGCAGAUGAGCUUUUAGCACAUAAAAUCUUCUAUCGCAUUUAUCUGUGGCUUUUGGAAUUUUUACCAUGCCACUGUGGGAGCUUAUGACAGAAGCACAUAAAAGGAAAAGUACUAAAAUCUCCUUUGCUGUAUCCAUGCAAGAUCCUGCACCCUACUGCAAACUGUCAAGGUUGUUUCAACUAACACUGCUCAAUGAAAGAGUCUCAGAGUAACCUAAGUGCAAGCUGAUGUCACAGUUGCUAAGAAAUUCACCCCAACGUCUCUUCUCAAGGGGAACUGAGAGCUGGGGUGGCAGGUCUGGGCUGAAGUACUGUGCAGCAGGCAGCUGCUCGUUAUCUGUCCUCUUGCAAAGAAAAUGCAAGAGAUGCGGGUGUCUUUGA